GGGAUCGAACCAUUUGGCUGACAAAUAUCCACAUGAACCCUCCAAACAACAUUUGCAGCUUCGGACGGCGCCCGAAAUUCCUCAAUAGUGGGAGAUGGGUCCAAAGUAGAAUACCCGAAGUCUUUCUGUGCUGAAUCCCCAGUUCUUUCAAGAAUAUCGCUGCCGAAGUGCUUUGUAGGUCAACAACUUCGGGCCAAAUAAUUGUCACGAAUAUCUUUGUGAACUUCCCGAAGAACACACCCUGCUUCGGAUGGAACCAAAUGUUUAAGUAAUGAUGACGAAAAAGGUCCUUCGAUAAAGAUUCUCAUCAAUGAGAACAAAAUGGACACUCUUGUACUUGGUCUUCUUUGCCAGCAUCUGAUCCGAAGAAAUGACGCCAUCUGUCGUCAAAGUUAUAAGCAUCUGUAGUGGCCAGCUUCGAUAAUGCACCGGCGGUGGAAUUGUUAUUGUGAUCGACUCCUUGAUAGCCUGCUAUACUGAUGUCCGAAAUAGAAUAUCCAUCUGCAUGCAAUAUCCACGAACUCUGCUUCUGCUGAAGAACUGCAACGGCUUUGUCGGACUCCUCAGCUGCUUUCCAUCUGGAGCUGCAACCUUAGAUGGAUUUCCCCGAAGACAAGUGCCCACAGGGCGGUGUGCCCUUAAUGGACUCUCGGGAGUGUGAUUUCUGGAUCUACUUCGGUGAAACUUUCUGUCACUGUGGUGAGCCUUCGUCUGCUGCGACCAUAAUCCCAAAGACCAAUAGGGCGGAAUACCCUUCUCAGUCAAUCAAUCAGGAAAAUGGCUGUUGGGUCUUCAUCUACUCUGCUUCGACCAUAAUCCCGAAGACCAAUAGGGCAGAAUACCCUUCUCAGUCAAUUAAUCAAGAAAAUGGUUGUUGGGUCUUCAUCUACUCUGCUCCGACCAUAAUCCCGAAGACCAAUAGGGCGGAAUACCCUUCUUAGUCAAUCAAUCAGGAAAAUGGCUGUUGGGUCUGCUUCGAUCCCGAGGAAGGCCUCGAGACAUGUCUUUAAAGUGUAGACUUCUUUCUAACUU
rnacentral:lncRNA from 1 species